rnacentral:snoRNA from 1 species
AUCCUAAAUAACCUGAGUUAUUACAAGUGCUUAUUUGAUUCAUAGGAGACCUAAAUCAAAGUCACAAAUGGACUUUUCGCUGAGAACGCUUUCUCUUUUUCCAGGAGGUGUUUACUAGUCUAUUCCCAUACAUCU